UACCGGCCAGUACGGACCGGUACGGCGGACCAUGCAUACAAUACUAAAGUUUGGUAGUAAUCUGAUUUUAGUCCUGGUGAGGAGGCGUUCAAUAUUCAAAAGAAAAUCAGUUGGACAUCUCCGAUGAGAAAAGAACCAUCACCAUUAUAUCCACCAACAGGGUAGAACUCCCCACAGGCCACACUUCUUCAAGAGGGAAAAUAACCUUGAAGGGGAGAAAUUGGCUAUAACAUCACUUACAAAUCCCAAUACUUUUCAACAAGGUAAUAUUUUCAAAUAAAAACACAUUAAUUAUGUAACUAUAAAGAUAUGGGGAGAAGAUUGUGACAAAGAAGUACCCAAAAAAGGAACAAGUUAUUUAAUCAAUUGCAGGCAAUCAAAAAAGCCGCAAGGGUCUACAAACCAAUUUACAAGGUGAAAUGCAAUGUUGUGCCAGAAAUACAAGGCAAGAGAUAAUGCUAUGUAG
rnacentral:lncRNA from 1 species